rnacentral:tRNA from 1 species
CUGCUUAUGGUGUAAGGUCUUAAACACGUUAGUUUUUCGUUCUAAAAAUACAAUGGUUAACUUGUUGAGCAGU